AGUGAAUAGAACGAAGUUUAAUAAGAGCUCUACGAAUGCAUAUUAUUAUAUAUAUGCAUAUUGUAAAACACCUACCAGGAAACAGAUCUUUGAUGUUGCACCACGAAGAUGCUUAGAUACUGCCUGAUUUUCAGCACUUUGAAUAUUUCAACAAGAUAACAGAAAGUUUCAAGUUUCAAGAAAGACUAACCAUGAUUCCUUCCCUGGAAUCGUACGUAAUCGGCUUUGUGAGACAUUAGCAUAAUCAUAAAAAGGAAUACGAUGAUUUAAUUUGCUCACCUAGCUAAAAUUAUUUGUGGUAACUAUUGGUAGAAAUUUUCCCAAUUUUCACGAGGCGAUUGGAUGAUUGGGAAGAAUCAUACGGAACGAAGCGAUAUCGAUUCGCCUCUUCUCUGCGCGAACGUGACAUGCCGUCUGCUUUCUGCCUUAACAAAGUACAACGAAUGUGAAUAUCGGCGAAAAUAAGCGGAAAGGAA